AACCACGGUGCCCAUUGACGGUCCGUAGACUGAUCUACGGACCGUACUGUUGAUCCGUAGAGUGAUACUGCGAGGGUUCCAGUACCUGAUUUUUGAAGAUUCUAAGUAUGGAGCUACGGAGGGGAUUGACGGACCGUAGGUCGAUCUACGGUCCGUGCUGCUGGUCCGUCGUUUGCUUCAGAGAAGCUGAUUUUUGGAAGCUGAAAUAUUUUCUAAGUCC
rnacentral:lncRNA from 1 species